rnacentral:rRNA from 1 species
GACGAACGCUGGCGGCGUGCUUAACACAUGCAAGUCGAACGGUGAAGCGCCUUCCUUUUUGGUGGGUGUGGAUGAGUGGCGAACGGGUGAGUAACACGUGAGUAACCUGCCCCCUUCUUCUGGAUAACCGCAUGAAAGUGUGGCUAAUACGGGAUAUUCUGGGUCUGUCGCAUGAUGGGUCUGGGAAAGAUAUUGUUUCGGUGGGGGAUGGGCUCGCGGCCUAUCAGCUUGUUGGUGGGGUGAUGGCCUACCAAGGCGGUGACGGGUAGCCGGCCUGAGAGGGUGGACGGUCACACUGGGACUGAGACACGGACCAGACUCCUACGGGAGGCAGCAGUGGGGAAUAUUGCACAAUGGGCGCAAGCCUGAUGCAGCGACGCCGCGUGAGGGAUGGAGGCCUUCGGGUUGUGAACCUCUUUCGCCAGUGAAGCAGGCCUGCCUCGUUUGUGGGUGGGUUGACGGUAGCUGGAUAAGAAGCGCCAGCUAACUACGUG